rnacentral:rRNA from 1 species
GACGAACCGUGCGAACGUUGUUCGGAAUCACUGGGCUUAAAGGGCGCGUAGGCGGCCCGCACAGUCGGGGGUGAAAUCGUCCGGCUUAACCGGACAAGGGCCUCCGAUACUGGCGGGCUGGAGGGGGGUAGGGGCGGGCGGAACUUCCGGUGGAGCGGUGAAAUGUGUUGAUAUCGGAAGGAACGCCGGUGGCGAAAGCGGCCCGCUGGACCCCAUCUGACGCUGAGGCGCGAAAGCCAGGGGAGCGAACGGG